GAUGAACGCUGACAGAAUGCUUAACACAUGCAAGUCGAUGGGGAAGUGGUGCUUGCUCCAUGGCAACCAUGGCGGACGGGUGAGUAACGCGUAAGGGACUUACCUGCAGGACUGGGAUAACAGGGGGAAACUCCUGACAAGACCGGAUAAUGUCAUGGAGCUGCCUGGCUUUAUGAUGAAAGGAGACGCCUGCGGAGAGCCUUGCGUCCUAUUAGCUAGUUGGUGAGGUAAUGGCUCACCAAGGCGAAGAUAGGUAGCCGGCCUGAGAGGGUGGACGGCCACAAGGGGACUGAGAUACGGCCCUUACUCCUACGGGAGGCAGCAGGGGAGAAUAGUGGACAGUGGGGGCAACCCUGAUCCAGCAAUUCUGUGUGCACGAAGAAGGUUUUCGGAGUGUAAAGUGCUUUCAGCAGGGAAGAAGUAAGUGACGGUACCUGCAGAAGAAGCGACGGCUAAAUACGUG
rnacentral:rRNA from 1 species